AAAGUGUUAGAAGAUCUCUCUUAUUUGGAAUUUUAGAAUGUUAAGUCUAAUUUAUGAUGAUAUGAACUUGUGGUGAAUAGUUGGAGUUCUAAUUGUAUAAUUUAUUUAGCUUGUGGAUUUAUAAAUGUUGUUCAUGUUUUUCAAGUUGGCUUGGGUUGCCAUAAAUGUGAAUUAUCGAGUGAUGUGAUAUAUAAUUAUAAACUGCACAG
rnacentral:lncRNA from 1 species